CAUUGACCUCGGAUCAGGUAGGAAUACCCGCUGAACUUAAGCAUAUCAAUAAGCGGAGGAAAAGAAACCAACAGGGAUUGCCUCAGUAACGGCGAGUGAAGCGGCAACAGCUCAAAUUUGAAAUCUGGCCCCGUCGGGGUCCGAGUUGUAAUUUGUAGAGAGUGCUUCGGGUGAGACCGCGGUCUAAGUCCAUUGGAACAUGGCGUCAUAGAGGGUGAGAAUCCCGUAUGCGACUGUGGCUCGAGCCCAUGUGAAGCCUCUUCGACGAGUCGAGUUGUUUGGGAAUGCAGCUCAAAAUGGGUGGUAAAUUUCAUCUAAAGCUAAAUACUGGCUGGAGACCGAUAGCGCACAAGUAGAGUGAUCGAAAGAUGAAAAGCACUUUGGAAAGAGAGUCAAACAGUACGUGAAAUUGUUGAAAGGGAAGCGCUUGCAACCAGACCUGUCCGUAGGUGAUCAGCCGCUGUUCUCAGUGGUGCACUCGCUCUGCGAUCAGGCCAGCAUCGGUUCUGGCGGUCGGAUAAAGGCCUUGGGAAUGUAGCUCCCCCCGGGGAGUCUUAUAGCCCUCGGUGCAAUGCGGCCAGCUGGGACCGAGGACCGCGCUUCGGCUAGGAUGCUGGCGUAAUGGUUGUAAGCGACCCGUCUUGAAACACGGACCAAGGAGUCUACAACUUAUGCGAGUGUUUGGGUGUUAAACCCAUACGCGGAAUGAAAGUGAACGGAGGUGAGAACCCUUAAGGGCGCAUCAUCGACCGAUCCAGAUGUCUUCGGAUGGAUUUGAGUAUGAGCAUAAUUCGUGGGACCCGAAAGUAAGCAUCCAUUAGAGUAUAAUCAUAUAGAAUCACAGCUAACAUGUGUUAUAGGAUGGUGAACUAUGCCUGAAUAGGGGUGAARCCAGARGAAACUCUGGUGGGAGGCUCGCAGCGGUUCUGACGUGCAAAUCGAUCGUCAAAUUUGGGUAUAGGGGCGAAAGACUAAUCGAACCAUCCCCGUGGGUUUUUAAGACGCUACUGGUGGUUUAUAGAAGUAUAUCGCCUUCGCGAGUACUUUCAGUCCUUCGGGGCAACAUCAUCACAUGCAUGGAUACAUCUUACGAGGUUGAUAUGCCGCAGCUCCCCCAUUAUUUUGCCCGGGGGUCCUGUUCACAGACCAAAUGAUGAUGGCCGGGGUACCCUCUUCGGGGGAUGCCUGGUUUAGAAAUGGCCGAGUCCUACUCCUAAACGAAUAGWAGCGACGCUAGUAGCUGGUUCCUGCCGAAGUUUCCCUCAGGAUAGCAGUAACGUUUUCAGUUUUAUGAGGUAAAGCGAAUGAUUAGAGGCCUUGGGGUUGAAACAACCUUAACCUAUUCUCAAACUUUAAAUAUGUAAGAAGUGCCUUGUUACUUAGUUGAACGUGGACAUUUGAAUGCACCGUUAUA
rnacentral:rRNA from 1 species